rnacentral:lncRNA from 1 species
ACCACUCUCAUACAAACCCUGAUCUCCAUACGAACCAUAAUUCGAGCUAUUCUCAUACGAAUUACCAUAAUUAGUCCCUGCCGAGCCGCCAAAUGACGUCGAUGAAUAAGGAGCUGGUGAAUUCACUGAAUUAUAAUUAGGCGGAUUCGGUUCCUGAUAAUUAGCAGCAGGAACAGCAUAAUCAUAACUCACAGGUGCUUGAUUUUGAUCAUACGGAUAAUAAUUUGGCUGCGGAGCCUCGAGGUGAGGGAAACCGUAUGACGAUUGAGAGGUGGGAUUUGAAGGGAAGGGAGCAGGUGGAUUAGGGGCAUGAUCGGCAGGGCCCUGAGCAUACGGCGGAUAAGCGGAGGCGUAAUUGGAGUAAUCACCGGAAGCAACCGGCGGAGCAGAUGCAAAUUGGCUGGGGACGGGGGCCGCCGGAGUGUAGGGUUGAUCGGCCGGAGUAGAGCUAGGGUUAGGAUUAGGGUUAGGGUUGGGAAAGGGAGGCUGGUAAUAUUGGUAAUAGGUAGAGCUAACGUCACCGUGCUGCAUAUCGGAAUUUAUAUGAUUGAUCGGAGAAGGAGAAAGAUUUGAACGGUGAUUGAUUGAUGGGUUUAGAGAAAAUUAUUAUGUAUUUUAAGAUGUUUAAUUUGUGAUUUAAGGGGAGUUUAGAUAAAGAAUAUGUGUGUGGAAGAAAAGGAAAGUUCCUUGACAGUGAAAGAGGAAUCUGGAAAAGGCCUUGUUGAUGGACACAAUGCUUUACCCGGUGUAAGAACCCAAGGAAAUUGGGUACCUUCGGUUAGGAUGCAAAUUGAAGUAAUUUGCUGUAUCGGGGUUUCGGUUUGAUUUUUAAAUUUAUCAAUUUUAAAUUAUUUAUUGACAUGAUAAAUUUUUAUAGAAUCAUUAAGAUAUUGAUUUGGUUAUUGAUUCAUCGGUUAUUAUUAUAUUGAUGGAUAAUGUUUUGCCCAAUAUAAGAAUAAAGGGAAGUGGAUAUCUAUGAUAGGACAAAUUAAAGUAAUUUGCAUAUCAAAUUAUUCGAUUCGAUUUUAAUAUUUAUCGACUUGACUUGUUGGUUAUUAGUUUAUUGACAUGAUAAGUCCUUGUAAAACCAUUAAGAUGUUGGUUUAAUUAUCUUUAUUGGUUAAUGAUUUUAUCAUUAAAAUUCACAUAAAAAAUGAACAGAUUUAUAUAAAUUUACAAGUUAUAUUUUCUUCAAAUGCAAAUAGUGACACCUUAUAAAAUAGCUAGAAGUUUGAGGCAAUAGAAAAUGCGAGUAUAAAACUGAAUCCGAAAUCUGGAUCUUUAUAUACUUGAUAAUAUAGAUAUAAUUUGUUAAUUUGCUAUCAAGUUAUCGGUUAAUUAUUUUUCAAAAAAACUCGAGUCAUUAGGAACUAAUAAUCCUUUAUAAAGAAAAUCAAAACGAUUACCCAAACAACUAAAUCAAUGAUUCAUUACCAAUAAUUCAAUAACUUUUUUGUCAAUUUGAAUUGUUAGUUUCAGUACGGUUUUGAACGAAUCUAAGUUGAAUUUUUAUUUCACUUAUAUCUAAUCGUUUAUAUAUAUAUACUAGUUAUUAAUAGCCCGGGCAAGGCUCGGGCCCAACAAAUAUUUUAAAAAAAAAUUAUUUUAAUUAUUGUGAUUUAUAAUAUUUUUUUAAAAUAUAUAAUAGAUUUUUUAUAGAUAUUUUAAGUUGAUAAUUAUUGUAAUUUAUAAUAUUUUUUUUGUAAUUUUUAAAUAAUAUAUAUCGAUCUCGUUGUCCAAACUUUUGUGGCAUUAAUAGUCAAUCACAUUUUUAAAAUAAUUUAAGUUUUAAAUUAUUGUGAUGUAUAAUAUUUUUUUUCUAUUCAAAUUGAAGUGUCAUGAUGCUUAGAUAAACAUAAUAAUUAAUUAUGAGUGAUAUAGCGAAGCAGACAUGUCUUAAUGAAUCACAACAACUAAUUAGAAGUGAUAUAAAUAAAUUACUAUAAAAAAUAUUUGUAAAUUUUUUUUGAUUAACUUAUCAUUUUACAUCUAUUUUACUUUUUUAAUCAAAUAUUAUUAAUUGAUACAAUGCUCAAAUAGUCAUAUAAUUAGGGGAAAUGACAGAUACGACACUUCAAAUUAAACUAUUUCCAUGAAAAUGACCAUGAAAUUUUAAUUUUACUUUCUAACUAUUUCAAUUUACUGACUUGUUCUAUAUCGUUUCUACACACCUUCUAUACAGUUUCUAUACAUAUCUUAUACAUAUAAAUAUUCUAUAUGAAAAUUUUACAAUUUUGACACACAAUUUAUACAAUAACUGGACAUUAUUCUUACGCGUUUUAUACAACAAUUAUAUAGUUUUCAUACACUUUUUAUAUAUUUUUUAUAUAUAUUUUAAUCCUAUACAAAUUUGAUACAAUCACCCCACCUGUCUUCAACUUUCUCAACCUCCUCCAGACAAUCCAAUAAUCAAAUCAUAUGAAAAAAAAUGAAUCAUGUAAUUAUCAAGAGAAAAGAAUUGAUCAAUAAUUUUCUUUAUUGCAUUGUUCGCUAUCUAAUAGUAUUGAUUGUUAACAUUUGACUUUUAUUAACUUAUCGAAUUGCUUAAUAUAAUUAUCAAGUGCCUUUUUUGUUAAUAUAAAAUUAUAUAUUUAUUUUAUUUAAUCAUAUAUUUUUUAUUUUUUUAAUAAAAUAUAUGAAUAGUAAUUUGUCUAUUAUCUAAUCUCAGUUAAUUUCUUUACUGAAAUUCGUCUAUUUAAUUUAUUCAUUAUAUUCUCAAAGUUAAUUCAGAAGUCUUAUCCCUCACUCCAUCCUCUAAUUUAAAAAAAAAAAAUACUCUAUUUUAAUUAUUUUCUUUAGAAUACGAUGAAUUAUUUUUUUUAGUUACAUUUCAUAGGCAGAUGAGUUUUUUUCUCUUACAUUUCAAAAUAUAAGAUACUAAAUUUAAAUCUAGAUCACUUAAAUUCUUAUAUUCUAAUAUUCAUUUAAUUCAUUAUUUAUUGUUGCUAUACAUGACAUGCAAAAUUUAAAUUUUUACUUGUUAUGAUUUAAAAAUUAUUUUCUCAUUUAACAUAUUAAUUGUAUUACACUACUGCUACACAUACUAAGUAUUUUUUUUUGGUUUAAACCACCCGUUGUCCAGUACUUGCUUUUUAGGAGUCCAACUAUAUCCGGUCGCCCCGCGUCGGGGCCCAUUUGGGUGGAGAGCUCCCAACAAAGUAUUUGUCCAUACCCAUGGUCGGACCUUCGACCUUUGGGUAGGUUGGGGUAGCCCCUUUUCACUGCGCCACCACUGUUGUUGGUCACAUACUAAGUAUUACUAUUAAUACACAUAUAUACUAUGUGCUACAACUACUACUACUAUUUAUUAUUAUUAGUAGUAGUAGUUUCUUAUACUUCAUUUAAUAUUUUAAUAGAUUACAUUUAGAUGUAUUUUUAAUAUAUUUCAUAAUUAAAUGUACCUAUAAUUUUUUAAAAAAAAUUAUAAGUUUAUCUUUGACAAGAUAUUAUAUCCCCAAUUCAAAUUAAAAAAAAAGAAUAGACAACAAUAAGAAUUCAAUUAGAACUCUUUAGUAUGAUAGCUAACUAUUUUUAAUAUGUACUUUCAUAGACUUUUAAUUUAUCUUUAAUCUUGUUUUAAAUCAAAUAUCAAUUGAAUAGUUUAGAUAUCUUUUUCCUACUUAUCAAUUUUUUUUAUUAUUUUUAAUAUUAUAUAAUGUUCUUAUCUUUUAAUAUAUACUAUGGACUUACACAUAUAUAGAGAGAAUAAAUAAAUUUUACUUAUUAAAUAAAUAUGAGAUACAUAAUUUUCAAACAUAUUAAAUGUUGGAAAGAUAAAAUAAGUGAUUACAAUAAUAUUUUAGUCGGAAUGAUUUCUUUGUAUAAGUAAUUUUGACAAUAGUAUUAAUAAUACAAAAAUUUUAUUUACGUAUUUGAUGAUAAAAUAAAAUAAAAUAACUAUUUGCCUCCCUCUCCUCAUAUCCCCUCCCCCACCCCCAACCAAGCUGAAAACCCACCAAAAAUAAAUUAAAAUCAAAUAUUUUCUAUUCUUUUUUAAACUGUUAAAUUUAAAUUUAAUUAUUUCUAAUUUUUUAAAUUCAAAUGCUAAGAAGAUUAAUUUAUUAUUCUCUUUAUUCUUAUUUUUCUUUAAAAUGUGUAUAUUUACCUUAUAAGUUAUAUAAUUGAAUUGAGACAAAUAUUUAAGAUAAGUGAUAAUGAUAAUAAUAAUGUAGUAGCAGUAAUAGUAGUUAUUGUUGUUUUUAUGUUGUUGUUGUUACUACUGCUGCUACUACUAAAACUAUCACUAUUCUAGUAUAUUUUUUAAUAACUUUUUCAAAGUUACACUUUAUGAGUAAUUAACUCUUCUUCUCUUAUAUUUUAAAUAUUAAAUAUUGAAUUCUUCUCUUAUAUUUUAAAAUACAAAAUACCGAAUUUAAAUUUAAGUUGAUUUUUAUAUUUUAAUGCUCAUAUGACUUGUUGUUUAUCGAGAUUUUAGUUGUGCGAUUUUAAAAAAUAUAAACGACAAACAAAAUUAGUUAAUAUUUUUUAUGUAUAAAUAUAAAUUUGCAAGUAAAAUCAUGAAAAGAAUAAAUCAAUUGCAAUAUUUAAGUGCAUAUAAAUCUUUUUUAUAACCUUCUUAGAAUAGAGUGGAUAUGUAAAUGUGAUAGAUAAAUAUAUUAUAUUUGAACACACGAUAAUAUUUGUAUUCAUUCUUUACGCAAAUGAUCUGAUUAAUUUUCUUUGUAUAUUUCGAUUCUCAAUUGUACUUGCUGAUUUCCUAGCUUCCUUAGAUGCAUUUGUGACAAAAGAUAAAUAUAGUGUUAAUUAGAAAAAAAUAAAAUUACUAUAAAAUUAAAUAAAGUAUGAGGACAUACCUUUCUAAUUUAUUUAGAGAAAUUUGAUGUGCAUUGCCUAUAAUUUUUUAAUUCAUGGUAGGUACAUUGCUUCAAAAAAAUAAAUAUAAUGUUAAUCAUAAAUAAUAAUAAAAUAAUUCAUAUAACUUUUUUUGAAAUAAACACAAUCUAAAUAUGAAAAUAAUUGUAACUGACAGAAAAAAAGAAGAUGAAGGAAUGAAGAAAACUUAAAUGAUAUAUGUAUUCAAGAGGAUAUAUAUAUAGGAGGUUACAAAUCCCGAUAUUUAUGUUAAGAAAAAAAAAAGAAGAAAUGAAGAAAACUUAAAUGAUAUAUGUAUUCAAGGGGAUAUAUAUAUAAGAGGUUACAAAUACAGAUAUUUAUGUCAAGCAAAAUUUCAGUCAAAUUCAAAAUUUAAAUAUAUCAGUUUGUUAGAAAAGAUAAGAUUUUAAAUUAUCAUUAUCUAAUAAUUUAUAAUUUUUAAAAAUUAUUUGAGAAGUUACAUUCAAACUUGAAAACUGCAUAGUUAGCAUUUUAUUAGGAACUCUACCUUAUUUAAUUGAUUUAAAUAAAAAUGAAUAAAAAAGAAGACAUUUGUUCAAACGUGUUCUUGUAUUUAAUUAUUUCUUUAAUUAUUUGUUUUAAAAAAUCAUAAUAAUGUUAAUCACAAAUAAUCGUAAUAAUAAUUUGUUGUAAUUACUAUUAUUGAUUUAUAUUAUUUUUAUUGUUAUUAAUAUUAUUUGGAUAAAUUUUUCAUCUUUUAUUAAUAUAUAAAUAAAUUAUAUUUAAAUAUAUUUCAUAGCAUUUAAAUUUUAACGAGAUAAGUUUGAAAUAGCAAAAUAUCUAUUAGAACUCUUCAAUUAUGGGUUUCUAUUUUUAAGAUGAUGAAAAUCUUUUUAUCAAAAAGAUAAUGUAUUUCAAGUUCAAAUAUUUAAUCUUUCAAUUCAAAACUUGACAAGAGUCCAAUUAGAACAUUCUAAUGUGAUAAAUAACUGUUUCUAAUAAAUAAUUUUAUUUUAUAAUUAUUUUUAAUUUAUUAAUAAUUUAUUAGUCUGAAUUGUCUUUGACAGUUUAACUUAUUUAAAUUUAAUAGUUAUUAUUAUUAAAAUAUUUAAAAAUUAAUAUUAUAUGUUGUUGUAGGAGUAUAUAUAAGAGAGAAUAAAAGUUAGAAUUUAAUUUCAUUUCAACUUCUAGAAUUUCAUUUCAUUUCAACUUUCACUCAAAUUCAAAUAAUAUAUCAAUUUGUUGAAAAAAGAUAAGAUAUUAUCUUUUAUCUUUUUUCAAAAUCAAUAUAUAUUUAUUUUAUAAUGUUAUGUUUGAAUUGAAAAAAUGAUUUGAAAUCAAGCAGCAUAUGACAUAUUUGUUAUAGUUCAUAACGUAUUAUUAUUAUUACUCUUAUUAUUAUUUUUUAAUUAUUAUUAUUAUUAUUAUUACUAUUAUUAUUAUUAUUGUUAUUAAAUACAUACUACAGAUGUACUACUACUACUAUUGCUUUUACCACUACUACUAAUUAUUAUUUUUAUUUAAUAAUAUUUUUAUAUUUAAAUAUAUCUUAUAAUAUUUAAAUAUUAAAAUAGAUAAGCCUGAAAUAAUAAAUUUCUAUUAGAACUCUUUAGUUAUGAGUUUUUAGUUUUAAGAUAAUGAUAAUAUUUUUUAUAAAACAAGAUAAUGUACUUCAAAUUCUAUACAAGAGAGACUAAGAAGGUAGUCCAAUUCAAAUUUCAUUUAAAUUCAAAUUCAAAUAUUAUAAAUUUGAAAAAAGAAGAUUAGUUUGUUAUUUAUUUAUCCUUACUUUUAAAUAUAAUAUGUCUUCAUCUAAUAAUCUAUAUAUUUAAAUUUAGAUAUAUAUAUUUAAAAUUAAUAAUAAAUACUAUUAUUAUUACCAUAUUAUCAUAAAUAUUAUUAUUAUUUUUUUUAUUAUUAUUAUUGUUAUUAUUAUUAUUAUUAUUGUUAUUAUUAUUAUUAUUAUUAUUAUUAUUAUUAUUAUUAUUAUUAUUAUUAUUAUUAUUAUAGUACUACUACCACUUCAAUAUAGUAAUACGUAUUGACCAUUACUACCACUAUUCUUUAUUUAUUUAUUUUUAAUUCAUCUUCUUACGCAUGUACUAAUACUACUGCUGUUUAGUUAUUAUCAUUAUUAUUAUUAUUAUUAAUAUUAUUUUAAUAGUUUUUUAUCUUUCCCAAAUAUGUAAAUAAAUUAUAUUUAAACAUAUUUUAUAACAUUUAAAUUUUAUAAAAGAUAAGUUUGAAGUAAUAUAUAUCUAUUAGAACUCUUUAAUUAUUAGUUUUUAUUUUUAAGAUAAUGAAUUUUUUUUUGUGUAAAAGAAUAAUUUAUUCAAAUUCAAAUACUUAAUUUUUCAAUUCAAUUUUUUUAUUACAAUAUUUUUAACUGUCUUAAUUUUUUUUUAAUAUUGUCUUAAAAAUUGCCACGUGGCUAUUUUAAUAACUUGACAUGUGACAUCUUAUCUUGCUUAUGUUUUGCUUUUAUAUAUAUAGAGAUUUUAUUACAUUUAAAUUUUAUAAAAGAUAAGUUUGAAGUAGUAUAUAUCUAUUAGAACUCUUUAAUUAUUAGUUUUUAUUUAUAAGAUAUUGAAAAUCUUUUUUGUAAAAGAAUAAUUUAUUCAAAUUCAUCACUGCUGUAAAUUGGAUUCUAUUACUGUGUCCUUACCAUCUAGAGUUGCUAACUUGGUAUCAUCUAUUAGUAUUCACUCAUGCCUUCUAGCAUGUGUUUCUCAUGUUGUAAGGGAUGUUAUUGAGGUCUUGUUUGGUUAUUUUCAAUAAAAAGGAUAUGAAUUGUCUAUGAUUAUUUUUUCAUAUAACUUAAUUGUAAAUGUUUGAAAACUAAAGUGCAUAGAACUUAAAAUGUUAAACAUAAUAAUGCUGAUAAAAGCACCAAAAUCGUAUACAUGCUUAUUUUCUGAUAGCUUCAUGGCCAAUGAUGAUGCUAUUGAAGUCCUAAGAAGAUCUUUGUCAAAGUCUCAAGCUCAUAUUAUUUGGCUUCAAUGUAAAAUAAAAAAGAUGCUUACGAUGGAAGCAGAGCCCAAGAACGAGUUUAAGAAUUAUGGAGAAGAAUGGGCAAAGUGCUACACAUAUUUAUGAUUCAAGUCCAAGCUCAAACGGAAGAAGAUUGGACCCAUAUGAGUUGUGAGUAAAUUUGAAAAUUUUUCCUUAUUUUCUUAGGCGAGAAUUUUUUGUAUUAUUUUUAUAUGUUUUUCUAGUCCUAGUAGGAUUUUAUUUUUUAUUUCCAUAAUAGUAGAUCCUAAUUUCAUGCUAUUUGGGAUAACUUUUUCCUAGUCCUAAUUAGAUUUGAUAAAAGUAGAUCCCAAUCCGUGCUAUUUGGAAUAGGUUUUUUUCCGGAUGAAUUUUGUUAUUUUCAAUCGGACAGUAUUAUUAUUAAUUGAGAGUUUCUCUUAUUUACACCUUUGUGUGUGGCUAGUUGGGAUUUAUCUUGCAACCCUACAAAAAUAUUUUUUUAGGAGGUAAGAUUUAUUCUUAAUUUGGUAUCUUUGGUUUCUAUUAAAGUUAUGGCUAGUUGGAAUUUAUCUCGCAACCCUACAAAAAUAUUUUUUUAGGAGGUAAGAUUUAUUCUUAAUUUGGUAUCUUUGGUUUCUAUUAAAGUUAAUUAAAGAAGGUGAUUAGUCUUGUAUUAAUUGUUGUCUUUAGUUUCUAUGAAAUAGGGGUCUAGAUCACUUUUGAUUUAAGUUAUUGAAUUGACUCUAUUUGUAUCAUAAUUAGUCUUAAUUCACUAAUUUUGAAUAGUAAAAUCAAUUAGGGUUCUUAGCACUUAACUCGAAAUUGAGAAUUUUAUUCUCUAAUUCUGCCUAUCUUUAAUUUUUGUCUUUAAUCUUAGUAUUUUCGUUUUCGCAUUAUUUUCUUGUUCAUUAACGUAACCCGAUUUUUAUGAUUUUUCCUCUCAAAAUAAAUUUGGAAAAAGAAUGACCAGACUAACCUCUUAGUAAUUAAACAAUAAUCCCUCGUUUCAAAUUCUCAUGGCAUUAUUUUCUUAUUAAUUCAUGUUAAAAUAAUGAUAUAUUUUUAUAUAUGAAAAGAAGUUGUACUAUUUUUAAUUUGGAACCUUUUACAAAUCAAUUUUUUGUUACAAAAACUUAGUACUAUUUUUACAUAUAAGCGAUUUAAAUAAGUGAUCAUAAAAUAUCAUCCCCGAAAUUGGAAGUGCACAUGAAAAAGUAGUACAAAAUCUGAACAAGUACAAGUAAACUCCUCCAUCAGCGGGAGUCCACGUCAGAAGGGCCCAACAUAGGAUUCUACAUCGAGCCCAGAAAGUACUUCCAAUAACAAUGCAACACGUGUAGUAUUUGACACAACUCACGAAAUACUCGGCCAAAGCUGGCCCUACAAAAGUUUUUUGGCGGGUCAUUUACAACAACAAAUUCAAAUUAGCAGUCUUUAUCAAAUCCCUAGGUCAUCCCGCCCCCAAAAAUCCUUUCCCUCCAAUCACCUCUUCCUUGUCUCCCCCCUCCCCCAAUUGGCUAGCGUUUAUGCUUCUCUCUGAAUUUUCAGGUACGCAAUUUUUUAUCCUCCUUUUCGUUUUGUUUGAUUUUGUGUGUGUGUUUUCAUAAAUUUAUUGUACUUGUCUGGGAAGUUUACGGUUUCAAGCCGUGGAAACAACCGUUUGUAGAAGUGAAAUAUAAGGCUGUGCAUCUUUGUGGGUAGUUGCUUCUCUGGACCCUGCAUAUAGCGGGAGAUUUAGUGCAUUGGACUGCCCUUUUUAAUCUAGGAGGUUCCAAUUUUUGUCUCGUUUCUGGAUUUCGUUAAUUGUUGCAUAUUUUAUCGGAUAUGAAGUUAGUUAUUGUUUGUGCGCGCGCUACUCUAUGCUUGAAUUGUAGGGUUCAGCUGUUAAUUUUUGUUUAUUUUUCUGUAGCGAUAAUAAUCGCGGCAGUUUUUUAAAGGCUGUUCGGAUAUCGAGGUAAUUAGCGAGAUAUUCGUGUCUGGCUCUUGUGAGGAUUCUUCAGUUAGUUCUUUGAAACCAUCAAAUUUCUUGCAAUUCCAUUAGGUUGCUUUUGGUACUGGUUAAUGUUUUCUAGAGAAAUGCUAUUAAAGAGGAGACAUUUUGCUUUGUAUGACGUGUUGUGUACCUGUUUUCAUGCUUGGGUUGUUAUUAAGUAAGUCAACAGAGGCGUAUGAUAUGGUAUAAUAUAGCUUCUGGCAAUAUUUUGUAUGUCCGAAUGUUGAUUGAAAAAACCAGUAGGGACUCUUUGGAGGUAUUUUGAAAGGAAAAUGACUUCUUACAACUAAUAAUUGAAGUCCCUUUUACUUUAUAGUGGACUGUAAUUUCCUUGUGGAAUUUUUUUUUAGACUGUUAAUUUCAAGGGAAUUGAAGCAUUGUUAAAUCAUUUCUUAUUGAAACAUUUUCUUUUAAUGCCAAUAGCUCUGUAUGAAUGUUUCCUGUUUUGAUAAAUUAUUUCAUCUAGUCCUUUUUACUUUUUCAGGUUAACAUGGAAAGAAAUCUGGGUUAGAUUUACUUUUAUGUUUGAUACAUAAGUGUGGGAGUGAAGGGAAAACCUCAAUUUUCUGCCAAGUAGAGAAAGGAGAAAAAGGUAUUAUGGGGAAAGUGUCUCCUAAAGAUGGGCAAUCCAAGACUCCGAAACAGAAAAAGCGAUCGAAGUGUAUAAAGAGCAAGUAUCUGAGACCAGGUGCUCUUGCACAACUUCGGAACACGAAGAUUUCUGCUGCUAAAUCGAUUACUGAUCUUUGGAAGAAAAGAGUGGUUGUAAGAAAUGCAGAUGAUGUUAAGGAGGAAGUUGUGCUUCCAAAUGAUGUUAAGGUUGAGAGUCCCAUAUUUCUAUCUCCCGUGAGAUCUCGUUUGGGUGCCGUAACUUCACCCUUGGAUUUAGCCAAGCAGAAUAAUUUGCAAAUGACACCAAAGACACCCGGAGAUGUAGAAGGCACGUCGGAGUCUAGGCUUGAGUCACUUCCAUUGGAUUUGUUGGUACAGAAUGCUCUCUUUCUUAUUUUAUUUCACCUAAUAAUCCAGUUCAAGUUUUGUUCACUAACAUCUUUGUAUAUAUCAAUUAGCCUGAUUUGCAUUCUCUUGAUGUAUAUGUUGAGAGUCUUGGUUGAACUUUAGGUCAGAUAUCGAGAAAAAUUAAAGGAUUGAAUCUACUUUUUAAAUUGUUGGUUGGUUGGAAGUGUUACAGUUGAAUCAAUUGAAUUGGCUUGAUCAUAUUCAGAAUUUGAACAGAAAGAUUAGUGUCUAUGAGUUUGACAAGUUCAACAGUAAGCAAUAAAAUGCGGAAACGAAAGUUGACAUGUGAUAUUUUAUAGUGGUUCAGCAAGCCAUUAUUCUGUCUUCUUGUGUCUUGGGAUAAAAGGGAGUUAUAUUUGAGUUUAUGAUCAUGAUUAUGAUACAAUUUCUAGUGAUUUUCACGCUCACCACCGAUGUUUUGGAGGUGGGUUUUCAUACUUGCACGCCAACAAUGAGAUCAUACACCACUGAUUUUUUCAGCUCACUCUAUACAAUAAAAGGAGGCCGCUGUCUAUUGUCCUGUACAAAGAAUGAUUUCAUUUUUAGAUGUUCUUCAGGAAGCUGUGUCUUGUUUUUGUGUGCCUCUCGGUCAUCUUUUGUAGCAAUACUCGUGAGCUUCAAAUUUCAGUGAUCUGCACUUAAUUAUGGAGCAUGAUUCAACUUCAAAUGUUUCUGGGAUUAUAGCCAUUUCAGACGUUUCUUUCCCCCUUGCAGAAUCCUUGAACUUUCUUCUCCAACUAUUAGACGUGAGCCCUAAGGAAUCUCCGUGAUUGCAAAUCUUCAUAGUUAUAUCUUCCCUUUGCAUGCAUAGAUUCUGACCCACUGAUUGUGCCCUGAUUUGUGUGCUGUUUCCAUCAUAUCUUUUCCCUCUUUGUCGUUUUCUCAACCUCCCAUAAUCUUUUCUUUCAUGUCAAUCAAACAGUUAUCUCAUUAGUGCAAGAAAAUUCCUGUUGAGUAUAUAAUCCUUGGUCUAAGUAAAUAUUGUUGUCCAACAACUGUUGUCAUCAUUAAAAUGUCAGUUCUUCUGUCAGGUUUUCAGUUGCUUGUUAACCUUUGUAAGUUCAAUUUUAUCAUGGUUUUAUUCUGAUCUGAUUAAUUUAAUUUGACCACCUAUAUGGAUGGAAGCUCUUAGCUUCUCUCGUCCCAUUACAACACAUCAGUUGCAUUUCUGUUCUGAAUUCCUCUAUUAGCAUGAUUAAUGUCAUCAGGUUCUCCACAAUUUGAAGCUAUUUCUGAAUGUUACUACCUCUCAAGUAAAUCUUGGUUUCUCUUCCCCUCUUUCCUCCUAGCUUCCCCAUUAGCAUAACCUGGUACCUGGCCACUUAAUCGAAUAUUAAUGUAGAAGACUUGAGUUCUUGAAAAAACGAAAAAGGCAAAAUUUUGCGAGAGAGAUAAGCUGAAAGGAUGAGCCGAUAAGCUGAAAUAGUUGUUUGGAGAAUUCUAUGACCUAUAUUACAAAGGACAAAGGGGGCAUUGUGUAAUAUGACAAUUGGUGUGUUUUCUUAUUUGUAGUAUAUGUUUUUUCUUUGGUGUGUUUUCUUAUUUGUAGUAUAUGUUUUUUCUUCUGAAAUAGAGAUAGUAUGAUAUCCAACAUUUGGGAAGAAUUAUGCAAACUAACCCUUCUGUCACCGAGGGCAGAAUCCAAUUUAUUUGCCACAUGAGUUGAGUCUUUGGGUGAUUUGGGAAAAUUAGUUGUUUAAAGGACUACAUUUGUUUUUAGUCAUCUAAUUGUCUAAGGCUGAUUAGCUAAUAGUUUCAUAUGUUACUUAAAGGUUAACAUACUUUGCCACCUGCAACAUGAUCAACUUAAAGCAGUUUUCCAUGUCUCUCAGAAGAUCAGGAGGGCAGUAAGUCAUUCUUUCUCUCCGUUUCUCUCCAUUUUUCUCUUUUAAGCCACAUAAGAAGAUUUGAUGUCUAAUUGCUGGUGAAAAUGGGACAGGUGAUUCUGGCAAAACAAUUCUAUUUCAAUUAUACUACUCCAAAUAGAACGCAGCAAGAUAUGUUAGGAACCAUGACUCCUCUCCCCACUGAUCACUGGCCUUUUGCAAGGUAAUAUACUAUGAUUUGGUGACCAUCCUUUAGAUGGUUAUGGGAUUUAUGUGUUAAAUUAUCUAAUAUAGCUAUCACUUUGCAGCAAGGGGGAUGGGAAAGGUGCAUGUGUUCACAGUCCUCGUACUCCUCAGGCUCCCAAGCAUGGUCCCAAGCCCCCAUCUCGGCUCAAGUUUAUAGAGAUGGAGCAAAUUGCAGCUGUUCUUUUCCAGGAAUCUGCAUUUCCUUCAAGGUGUUUGGUGCCAUCUGUUAUACCAAAACCGCUUUGCAAGCCCUUGGGUUCUAAUAGAGUUCUAUUUUAUGAGGAUGAAUUAUGCCAGGCUGUUUCUCAGAAUAAGCUUCGUUAGCUUCUGCAUUAGUUUCUUAUCUCCUAGUAUGUGUAUAGUAGGAAUCUUGACAGUAAAAUACAGCUAUGCUGGAGUUUUGUAAUAUUAUCAGGGCUCAUGAAAGUUGUGGUGUUUGAAGAUUGCAGUAGGUUAUAAAGAUUUGAAGGUUGUGAUGCAAAUAAUACAUUUAUACUGGUCUUGUGUAUAGUCCUAUAUAAUUUCCUUGUAUUAGGUUUUGGAGUGGCAGUGAUUGUUUCUCUUAUCUGUAGCAAUGAAGUGAAGACAAUAUAUGUUAUGUUUAAGAGUAGUUAAUUGUGAGGAUGAUUUUGGUUCUUGUUACAGCACAAUUUCAAGCGAUAUUGCAUAAACAUUGCAAAUUUACAAAGCGAGAUUAAGAUCUCUAGACUGCAAUGUAUCAACAAUUUCAUAGUAGCUCUAGAACUGCCGUGCAACACAUUUUAAUCUCAAACGAGCAGUGCUGGCAUGUCUGCAAUGACAAUUGCAUUCUCUAGAUGGUGCCACUCUAAAAAGUAUAAAUGUAGUUUUUGUUGAAUCUAUUUACCUGUUAGUCUAAAGCCAACUAGCUCCAUUUGUGUUCAUUGAAGAGAGGGAAAACAAAGUAAUUUAAGCUUCAGUGUCCCUAUUGUUUGCAUUCUCUAGAUGGUGCCACUCUAAAAAGUAUAAAUGUAGUUUUUGUUGAAUCUAUUUACCUGUUAGUCUAAAGCCAACUAGCUCCAUUUGUGUUCAUUGAAGAGAGGGAAAACAAAGUAAUUUAAGCUUCAGUGUCCCUAUUGUAUCCAACAUCGUUUCGACCUUUACAUUAACCCCUGCUCAAUAAUGCAUUUAUUUCUGUGUAGUGGUAAAAUCUACGUACACUCCACCCUUUCCAGACCUCACUUGUGGGAUUUUACAAAGUAUGUCGAUGAUUCAUACAAGAACUUUUUAAGAGGCAAAACAAGGAGCAAUGAUUAGGAGAAAAGAAAAAAGAAUAAAAUGGGUCUGCAAGGAGGACAUUUAGGGAGGCUUGCUCCCCGAACACACAACUCUGGUGAAAACAAAUACAGCUCCCGUGCCAAGGAUCUAUCACACGAACUUAGUGCCUUCGAUUGGCAUCAAGAAAUAACCUAUCAGCUGUUAACAUUUUCAUUCUUUGAUUGGAAAAUGAGGAAAAAUGACCAACCCGGAGUAACCCCCAUCUCCAUCAUGUAAUUCCUAAUUGCUCAUCAGCAGAUGAGUUCUUCCAUGGUUUCACAAGGAUAUGAAUUGGCUCAGAAUAACAGGAUAAGGUACAAAUAAAAAAACAAUAUAUAUCAAGGAUUCAAAAAGCAGAAACUGAUGAAUUUGCACAAUGACCAGAACUAGUUUCAUGCCCCUCUCGCAUCAUAUCGUGUUUGAAUCACUUUUGCAUGUGCUUCACGACAUAAAGCAUGUGUACUAUACAUGCACAGCAGAAAAGAAGAUCAUAGAACUGACUACUGUUAAUAAAUCUACAUUAUUGAAAGAGAGACCAACACAAACACCAAUAAAUACAGCAGAUCUUGAUAUCCCUAAAAACAAUCAUAUGAAGUUGGAAGGACCCAUCAUGGUGACUUCUAAUCAAUCCCUGGAUAUCGGAUAAUUGCAAACCAAACCACACCAACCCAGCCUGUCAAUGAGCACUAACAAGGAAUGGAUGCUGGCAGACGCUGCACUCUAUCGUUUCUGAUCCAGAAGCUGGAACUUCAACCUGAAAACUUAAUUGCAUUAGGAUACUCACCUAGCGGAAGUUGUUGUGUUAACAUUAUAAUAAGUCUCAGCAAUAGGUAGACGGCAACAGCUGUGUGCAUUUUAUAUUUUACCACGACCAUGUAAUAUGAAAAUGCAUAUUUCACCAUCCUCUCAACAUCUUUUUUCAUUUCUUAAAAAGUUCUAAACGGUUUGGCUCAUGUUUUAUUCUAUAUAAUAGGUCCCAAAACUUAUCCAAUCAUUUCAAAGUAUAAGGUCUGCUAAUCCAGGCAGCAGUCCUUUCUUUGUUCUUUUUCCCCUCCUCCUGGUCAACUGUUGAAACUAGUAAAUUUUGUGUUUCAAAAGAUGAAUUACUUUCAUAGGAACCUAGACACAACAGCGCAACAUGAGCGUGCCCUUAAUUAUAGCAGAUCAAAGUAUGUUUGAAAGGGCAAAUAGGCAAUUUCAUUCAACGGAAUAGAGCAAUGAAGUUAUGUAGUACGAAAAUCAAUCAUCUAUGUUCAACCAUAAAACAAAUGGGAAAAAAGAGUUCUCGCUUAUAAUACUAAACCUGCAAAUGGACUGUGCAAGUUGGACAUGCAACCUCUCUCAUCCUCCUUGAUCCUUGGGAUGUAUGACCUAAAUAAAAAUAAUAUAUAUGUUCAGUUCAGGGAAAGAAAAAAAAAAAAGCAAAUUGAAGCCGCCUUAGAACUUUGCACGCAAAUUCCAGACAGCAAUCCAUUGAAAAACUAUGUAUGUUGAAUUGAACCAGAUAUUGAUGGCUAAUACCUGUUGACGUCUUCCUUUUUUUGUCCAUCUCCUCCUGUCGAUGAAAUUCAAAUCAGAGAUAUUUACAUUAAAUGCUUAAGAUGCAACCACAAAGAUUACUUUAAAAGAACCAUCAGCCAAAAGAUGCAACUCAAGCUAUAUAAACAUAAAAACUCGUGAUUCUGCUGGCUCAUAUCGUAUAUCCUAUUUUUACAAUUAAGUUGACUAAAAAUAGUUUAACUUCUACAACCUCAGAAAAAGCAGAUGCAAUAAUUCUCAAAAAAAGAAAAAAAAGAAGAAAAAAACUGAUGCAAUAGUACUACUACGGGUCAUCAAACUACCGCUUCGAAAAUCUAUCUCAGAAAACAAAUAAUGAUGGAAACUCGGAAGUACAUAUCCACCUGGAGUUUUUUUGCAAGAUCUACAUGACUUGGCAAUGCAGCAACUCUGACCGCUGAUUUAGCAUUGCUGAGCCUUUGAGUUACCUCAGCCUACAAAAUGAGAAGCAAUAUUUAAAACACGAGAAACUAUUUGAGCUCAGCACAUCUUGUGAAGGUACUCUGCUUAAAAGUUGAUAUCCGCAAUAACGUUAAAGAAUGCAAACAUACAGAAGAUCAACAUGUUGAAAAAUAAUAACAAUAAAGAAAGUAAACAAUGAAAAUCAGCAUCAUGAAAGAGUGGCAAAGUUUUGGAUAGUACAAUGAACACCAUAUCAAGAUAGUAAAAUUUAUAAAAAGCUGAAAGGUUUUGACGCCUCAAUUUUUCUCAGAAAGAGAUUUCUGUACAACUAAGCUGGCUGAUGAAAAGGGUUUCAGCAAUUCUCCCACAAAUUACAUGUGAUAUUACCACCAAAGACUCUAGUAGACGUCAUCAAUGAGCAAGGGUGGCAGCGAGGGGAUUGAUUUUAACAGAUGAGAAUCUACGAUAGAGGAAGAUCACAUAUAAUGCUCAAGCAAACACAAGGACCACCUUCUAUUACAUUACAGGGUGACAGCAUGGUUGUGAUAGACAUUUAGUCAGUUUAAUGUACAGUAGAUGAUGUCAGGUAUAGUGUUCUCCACUAGUUCUUAUGUGGGUCUUCUUGCAAAGAGAGGAAUAGAAAACAUUUGAUGGUGCAAGAAAACCACAAUGUACAUAAGGGGAAUAGCCUUUUAUUCCUCUUGACUCUACUUUUGGUACACUUCUCGUGUACAAGAGAUAUCCAUAAAUAUCAUUAACGAUAUUUACCUCAUCAAAAAUUGUCAACGAGCAACCACCCCUUUUUAAUCUAAAGUCUUCUGUAAAGCAUGUUCCGACAAGUUUAGAUAGAUAGAAACACAUGCACUUACAUCCUCAAUGACCUCAACAACGUCGAUGAGCAUUACAUCUCUAAUUUCUCAAUGAACUUUUUUGACGAGGUCCAAUUUUUCAAUGAUUAACCAAAGGGUUCUUUUGGGCAGAAAAUCUUAUGCACAUGAAUUAUAAUUUUCUAUAAUUCUUAGGGGUGAAAAUUUCUUUAAUGCCAUAUUGCAUAAAAGCAGUUCACCUCUUUAGCACCUUGUCGCCUGAAUUGAUGAUCAUGGGCAAAGCGCAAAGAUUGUUUUGCACCUAGCUUCAGUGGUUACAAACGCUUAUAAUGACCCUUCAACAACACUUUCUACACCUCUACAUGUUUGACAAAUUAUACUCUUUCAAUUGUCUUCCGAUUAAACUAACAAACUGGUUAGCAGCCAAUAGUUAUGAAGCAUAGUACAUGUACACCUGACACUAGAUAUCAUAUUUGUCCCGCUUCAGGUGCGGGCCACUCAGCCCCAGAGUGAAUGACCUUAAUGACUUCCUCACUAACCAUGCUAAGGCUGAGGGAUGAAGAAUGAGCAUGAAAGAAUAUAAUCACUUCGGAAUAAUAUGGGGAAAAUCCUACAACCAAACAUGAUCAGCUGGAGGCCGAGUUUUUUUCUGCAAAAGAAGAAUUCGUCGAUCGCAAAGGAAAAUAAUAUCAAAGCUCACAUUCAGGCUUCCCGCAAACAGAACCAAAAUACUUGAUACCGAUUAGUCAAAUUGAGAGCUCAUUUCACCAAAAUCAUGAGAAAAUAAAGAAUAGUUAUCGCAGAAAACUACUGGGAAAAAAGCAAGAUCCAAUCCUAUGUGCUAGAAGAUAGUGUAAAGAUGAAAAUAACAAAGCCACUUAGAGAAAGUCAUAAGUGGAUAUAAUUAGAUGCAGGCAUACCAUGCAUCGGUCACAAACUCGAACUGGUUGGGCAUCUUCAUCUGCAGUCAAAGCAGUUCUACCUUGAGUACAUUUGUCACAGAAAAUAUCGCCACAAUUUCUGCAGUGGUGCUGUAACAAAUUAUAUAUGAGUGAAAAAAUUAAAACAGGCAAUACAAGAUGCAAAUGAGACAUUCAGACCACCUAAAAAUGUUGGAAUUAAUGCUUACUCUUCGUAUAAAAGCACCAAAAUCUGUCCCACAAGCAGUGCACUUUCGAACAGCUUCAUCGGGAACCUGUAUGAGAAAAUAGGAGCGUAAGAAAAAUAGACAAGUUGCUAACUUUACAUCCUUGCACAAGUUUUGUUCGGAAAAAAUAGAAGAAAAUGCGGCAAUGAGUAAGGAAACAGAUAGUCGUUGGAUUAUAAUCUAACCCAGUGAUCUUUCUCUUCAUUGAGUGGCCUCAUCAACUUCAUCCAAUCAAAACCUUUCUUCUUCUCAGCAGCUGACUCGGAUCCCUUGAUUGCAUCUGACGGCAUACUACUCUCGCCCAUCUCUUUGGCCUAAACACCAUCACACCAGCCUGAGUACAUGCUUAUGACUAGUUUGAGAAGAAAUAUUAGUAAAACAAUGAAGAAAUAUACCCAAUAUAUGGUUGACAGCAAAGAAAGGAUCAUAAAAACCACUUUCAGGGUCUCAAAAUCAUGAUUGUAUCUAAACCCAAAGCCAACAAGAUAAGGACACCAACUAAAAUUAAAACAGAAUAAUCGUUAAAGACCUUUUAAGCUUAAUGUUUGUAUGUAGCGGUUGCUUGAUAGAAGGAUAUGAAUCAACUACGUCAGUAACGAGGCAAGUGGCUACCAGCGAUAAAACUGUUACCUUUACAAGAAAAAGUGGCUACUAACAAUAUAUUUUGUUAUACUGAAUUCUUCAGAUUAAAACCCUGGUAGUCCUCUUUUCUCGUCAUGGAUGGAAAAAAUUAGAAUAAGCAGAGAGUAGAACUCCAUAGUUCAUCUAAUAUAACAUGUGAGAUCGUCAAACCCAAGAAGGGGGGAAAACAUAUAUAUGGGUCAGGGGUGGUGGUGUACAUGGUAACAUCCACCAACCACCCACUCAUACAAUCAAUUUCUACUUUCUCCUACUGAAACUAGUCCAACUCUAAACCCUUCCAUUCCAAUCCACAUGAAAGUGGUGAUGAAGCCUGAGAGAAUUGAUUGCUAACGGAAACAAAAUUAAAAAACUGAGGAAGAAUGAUAUUAAGAGAGAAGAUGAAAGGGUCUUUCAAUAGGUACAAGUCUUAAUAUAAGUGGCUAAAUGAAAAAAUCGCACAAGUUUUUUUUGAUAACCAAAAAAAAAAAAAAGGACAAGUUAAAGGGGCAACAUAUAUAUAUUCAGCCUUCAAUAAACUAAUAUAAAACUUGAUACUUUGGCAUGUGCAACUCGACAAAAUCCAAAAAGUCACACAUUUCAAGAAAGAUAUCCGGGAACAAGAAAACUAACGCUAUGAGCACACAAAAAGGAAAUUAGAGUAAUCUUUGUCAAUAUGAAUAUAAAUCAUAUCUUCGUCAUACCAUACUAUACUAAAAGUAAUAACACUAAGUUAGAGAUAUAUAUGAAAACAUUAUAAAAUGAUAUUUAACACUUUAUGGCCCCAAUGCCUUGCAAUGUUGAUUUACAAAUUUACUCAUCAAGAUGAAGUAGCAAUUUUAUUGUUGAAAAAACAAAUUCUUUAAAUAAUUAAUAAAAAUAAAAGCAGCUACAUUGAACUGGUAAUUAGUGGAGGAUUUAGUUUAAUUCAUCGUUUCACAUUCCAAAUUUUAUUGUUUGGACCUCUAGCUUCCACCGGUUAUUAACAUUUAUCCAUAACAUUUACUGUUAUACUUAUAUUAUACAACACUUUACAAAAGUAGAUACCGUAGUGUCAAAUCACUUUAUUCUUCUUCUCUCCCAUGUUCCUGUAGAUUUUUUUGUUUGGUAUAUUCAGCUCAGCGGCAACUAAUAUGCUUAGGCAACUUUUUUUCUUUCAUGUUAGAGAAGCUUUUUUUCAUCUUAUUCCCUACCAUUUUGGAACUUGUAUUUAUGAGAUAACCUAUAAUAUAAUCCUUAAUUUUUUGUCGAAAGAAUCCGAGUGAACUUAGUUUAUAGUAGAUUGCUUUAUUACUCCAAUUAACGUGAAUUGCUUUAUUUUUACAUGAUUCUUAAUAAGUUGCUAUAAUCAGGGACAGAUCUAUAGUUAUUCGAGGGAAUUCACCCGAAUCCCCUCUGCAACAAUUACAUUGGAUAUUAUAUAAGGUGUUUUUUUAAUGUAUAUGUAGAGAUUUUGAAUCCCCUGAAUAUAAGAUUAUAGGUUGGCUUAGCGGUUGAAGGGGUUCAAAAUUCACCGUGAGGUUCCGAGUUCAAGUCCCAAGCACUACAUUUUUAUUUUUUGAACCCCCUAACUAAAUGAAACCCCUAGAGCUGCCACUGGCUAUAUUACUAUAUUUAUCACGUGUGUGGUCAAAGGAUAUUUGUGCGUGUCUCCUAUAACUUUAAUGAUGUGAAUAUUACAAUAAUUCUGUUCCGUUUACUUUUAAAACAUAUAGCCCUUUUUUGUUUUCAUAAAUAAAUAUAGAAUCACUCAAGAAAAAGUGAAACUAAAACAAAAUCAAACGAAAGAGAAAACUCAACAUCUACUUUGGUUAACCUUAACUAUAUAUCAAGUUCAACUUGUAUCUUUCUUUUUUUUUUUCCUUCAAUAUUUCAGUUACUCUUUACACACAUAUUUUAAUAUUAUUUAUGUCUUUUAAAAAUCUAUACUAAUUGAAUUGGAAGACACGUUCAAUGCACAUAUCCAGAAACUAGUAUAUUACAUAAACGUGAAAAAACGGGGCAUAUAGCUGCUUUCUCAUAUAACACUGGGACUGACAGAGGCAGGCACUAGCUAUUAGCUAGGUUGGUUGACAUUCCCAUCCCACAUCAAACACUUCAAUCCGUAGUAAGCCACAAAGAAGUGAGUGAUUCAAAUGAUGAUGCACAAACUGAUCUCAAAAGGAAGUGGUUAGUUCUUUGAAUGCCAACUUUGAGAAGUCGGAUCAGUGUCGGCACAUUGUAUCCGAGAUGCUGGAUUACUUAUAUUGGUUGCAUUUGAUUAGGCCUUGGUCUCUGGGGAGAAACAAAUUAAAAGACAUACACAGGGAUGCAAAAAAAAUUAAAUACUGAUUGCUUAACCUGAAUACUUGCUGCUGUCACUGCAUCAAGAAUAUUGUUGGUGGUAUAGCUAUUUGAUUUCAGCCUGAUACGUUUAGCUUCAAUGUCAACAGAAGUUUUGGCCCAAAAUGCAAAUAUAUGUGAAUCCAACACCUAACAAAAAAUAAAAGAAAUUAACUUAAUUCAUAGAUAAAGAUGCCUAACAGACCUAAUAAGCUCAACUAAACAAACUUACCUCCCAUCUUGUCACGUUCUCGAGUGAAUAUAUCCUCUGAGUUCGGCUAGUAGCAGGAUCAAGUAAGCGAAUCCCAUCUAGACCAAUCUGAAACAAAAGUCCUUCUCAAUCGAAACUCAUAGAUAACAAGUAGGAGCAAUUUCCAAAUGGUAUGUUAAAUCAACAUAAAUAAGCAGGCAAACUGAAAAUUAGAAAAUACCAAGUUAGGCCUCCGAUAUAAAGACAUCAACAAUGAUAUAUUCUAACCUGACAAAGCACAUCCAUGUCACUCUGACCAAAGCCUUCGGAUAAAAGCUUGACACGAAACUUCAAAACACCACCUGUGGCAUCUUGUUGGUCCUCAAUCUUAGGUGCUGCUUUCACAACUUUAGGAGCACUCACAGGUCUCUGCUGCUCCCUACCACUAUGAACAUUGAUUGGUCUUCCAUAAUCAUCAAACAUCAUACCCGCAUUUGAUCGAUUUCCACUAUACGACUCCUCUUUCUUCCCAUUGUACUUGUAAACACCACUCUCAUACAAUCCCUGAUCUCCAUACGAACGAUAAUUAGAGCUAUUCUCAUACGAAUUACCAUAAUUAGUCCCUGCCGAGCCGCCAAAUGACGUCGAUGAAUAAGGAGCUGGCGAAUUCACUGAAUUAUAAUUAGGCGGAUUCGGUUCCUGAUAAUUAGCAGCAGGAGCAGCAUAAUCAUAACUCACAGGUGCUUGAUUUUGAUCAUACGGAUAAUAAUUUGGCUGCGGAGCCUCGAGGUGAGGGAAACCGUAUGACGAUUGAGAGGUGGGAUUUGAAGGGAAGGGAGCAGGUGGAUUAGGGACAUGAUCGGCAGAGGGCUGAGCAUACGGCGGAUAUGCGGAGGCGUAAUUGGAGUAAUCACCGGAAGCAACCGGCGGAGCAGAUGCAAAUUGGCUGGGGACGGCAGCCGCCGGAGUGUAGGGUGGAUCGGCCGGAGUAGAGCUGGGGUUAGGAUUAGGGUUAGGGUUGGGAAAGGGAGGCUGGUAAUAUUGGUAGUAGGUAGAGCUAACGUCACCGUGCUGCAUAUCGGAAUUUAUAUGAUUGAUCGGAGAAGGAGAAAGAUUUAACGGUGAUUGAUUGAUCAGUUUAGAGAAAAUUAUUAUGUAUUUUAAGAUGUUUAAUUUGUGAUUUAAGGGGAGUUUAGAUAAA